rnacentral:lncRNA from 1 species
CCACACCAGACUAUACACUACUACCACAACAAACAAUACACUACUACCACACCAGACUAUACACUACUACCACACCAGAAUAUACACUACUACCACACCAGACUAUACACUACUACCACACCAGACUAUACACUACUACCACACCACACUAUACACUACUACCACAACCACACCAGACUAUACACUACUACCACAACCACACCAGACUAUACACUACUACCACAACCACACUAUACACUACUACCACAACCACACUAUACACUACUACCACAACCACACUAUACACUACUACCACAACCACACUAGACUAUACACUACUACCACAACAACACCAGACUAUACACUACUACCGCAACCACACCAGACGAUACACUACUACCGCAAACACACCAGGCUACACAUUACUACCACACCCACACCAGACUACACACUACUACCACACCAUCACCAGACUAUACACCACUACCACAACAAACUAUACACUACUACCACAACCACACCAGGUUAUACACUACUACCACACCAGACUAUACACUACUACCACACCAGACUAUACACUACUACCACACCACACAACUACCACAACCACACCAGACUAUACACUACUACCACAACCACACCAGACUAUACACUACUACCACAACCACACCAGACUAUACACUACUACCACAACCACACCAGACUAUAUAAUACUACCACAACCACACCAGACUAUACACUACUACCACAACCACACCAGACUAUACACUACUACCGCAACCACACCAGACUAUACACUACUACCGCAACCACACCAGACUAUACACUACUACCACAACCACACCAGACUAUAUAAUACUACCACAACCACACCAGACUAUACACUACUACCGCAACCACACCAGACUAUACACUAAUACCGCAACCACACCAGACUAUACACUACUACCGCAACCACACCAGGCUACACAUUACUAC